rnacentral:rRNA from 1 species
UACGUAGGGUGCAAGCGUUAAUCGGAAUUACUGGGCGUAAAGCGUGCGCAGGCGGUGAUGUAAGACAGUUGUGAAAUCCCCGGGCUCAACCUGGGAACUGCAUCUGUGACUGCAUUGCUGGAGUGCGGCAGAGGGGGAUGGAAUUCCGCGUGUAGCAGUGAAAUGCGUAGAUAUGCGGAGGAACACCGAUGGCGAAGGCAAUCCCCUGGGCCUGGCACUG